UACGAAGGGGGCUAGCGUUGUUCGGAAUUACUGGGCGUAAAGCGCGCGCAGGCGGUCUUCCAAGUCAGUGGUGAAAGCCCGGAGCUCAACUCCGGAACUGCCAUUGAAACUGUUAGACUUGAGGAUGAGAGAGGUGAGUGGAAUUCCCAGUGUAGAGGUGAAAUUCGUAGAUAUUAGGAAGAACACCAGUGGCGAAGGCGGCUCACUGGCCCGGUACUGACGCUGAGGCGCGAAAGCGUGGGGAGCAAACAGGG
rnacentral:rRNA from 1 species